rnacentral:rRNA from 1 species
AGAUUGAACGCUGGCGGCAUGCCUUACACAUGCAAGUCGAACGGCAGCACGGGGGCAACCCUGGUGGCGAGUGGCGAAACGGGUGACGUUAAUACACUCGGAACGUGCCCCGUAGCGGGGGACAACCAGUCGAAAGACUGGCUAAUACCCGCAUACGCUCCACGGAGGAAAGCAGGGGAUCGCAAGACCUUGCACUAUGGGGANCGGCCGAUGCCCCGAUUAGCUAGUUGGNGAGGUAAAGGCUCACCAAGGCAACGAUCGGUAGCUGGUCUGAGAGGACGACCAGCCACACUGGGACUGAGACACGGCCCAGAC